rnacentral:lncRNA from 1 species
GGGUACAAGCUUCUGGGAUUCUGAUGAUAACUUCAUUCAUUCUGGCCUAGCUCUUCCUUCCCCAGUACCUGAUUCUGUCCAUUCCCUGUGUCUUGCGCAAUUAUACAAUCUAGCCAACCUCUUCAUUGUUCCAGACCAGUCAUUCUCAACGCUGGCUGCACAGAGGCAUCACUUGGGGAUUUAAUUUGUCUUUGUUGGAUCCUAGGUCUGCAUAUAUUUAAAGUGAUUCUCAGAGAGGACAUAGAAGGUUCCAAGUGGGCGUUGUUGAUUUUGGAGUCUUUGAUCUGGCACUGCAUUUAUCACUGUGUCUGGGAAUAUGGGGCUCACCCUAUAGGCACUUAUAGGGGUCACAGGAUGAACACAAGGCACAAUGUAAUUAAACUGCAUAGCUGGAGAAAGUUUGGAAACUACGGGUUCCAAGAAAACUCUUCCCUGUGACUUGGCAAGGAGCUCAAGAAUGACAACAUAAUCAGCCAAUUAAAUGUAAGCUGGAAGCCUGAUGUCCUUCAGGAUGAGUUUACGGGAAGAAGACAAAUGUAUGUUCACAAGAGGCACCUGCUGUUUUACUGCUGCCUUUUGGAAAGCGCUUGAAGUGUUCUAGAGGUUUUCUCUCAUCAAUCCUUUUGAUAGCUUUAUUAAACAGGAAACGGGACAAACAUUUUAGUCCCUUUCAAACAGAUGAGAUGAUUAACAACAGAUGAAAUGAUUAACACCGUGAAGGUCAAUUGCCUUGUCAAGGGGCAUAGUGACCAUGGGUCAGAAAUGAUUUCAAUAAUGCGUUUCCUUACAAAAUACAUUGCUUAUCUGCAUAGAAUCCUACAGCAACUGUCAAAUACACAAGAAGAUUAUAUUAACAUGAAGAUAUGAAUAUGCUCUUUGAUAAACAAAUUCUUUAAGUCUUUUGGGGCCAAAGCUCUGUUUCAUUUUUCAGUCUAGGGUAAGGAGAUACAGACCAUAUGCCAACUGUGAGCUAAUGCGGGGGUGUUGCUGAAAUCAUACCGGCCUUGGCCUUGUUUGGCAAGAGCCACUUUGAAGAGAAGAGUAAGAAAGUGCAUCUGGUCCAUAUGUCCAUGAAAAUCAGCCUUGGUGACUCUUUGGCAAAGAAGCAGUAGGCUUCCAAUGCACGAUAUAGAUAGAAAGACAUAUCACAUUUUGCAAUUUUAAGUAGGUUUUAAUGCUUUACUAGAGUUCUUAAGCUGACUCUGUGCCCUGAGUGUGCAGAGAAUACAUGGUCAAGGAGAAAGCAUUUAAAGCACAGGACAGCUGCUGUGGUUG